rnacentral:misc_RNA from 1 species
GUGAAUCAUCAAAUUUUUGAACGCAAAUUGCACUCUCUGGUAUUCCGGAGAGUAUGCCUGUUUGAGUGUCAGAUUAAAUAAAAAUCGGUGUGGUUGCUGCCUUUCGUGAUGACUCGCCGUUUUUGGGUCGUCUUGCCUUCGGUUAAGUGACCUAAAAUUUUUGAGGAUUUUUGCGAACGGAUUUAAAUAAUUUUACUUGCGUUUGCGAUAUCGUAGACUAGGUGUGGUAAUCCUCAUGGU